AACGAACGCUGGCGGCAGGCUUAACACAUGCAAGUCGAACGAUGAAGUCUAGCUUGCUAGAUGGAUUAGUGGCGCACGGGUGAGUAACACGUGGGAAUCUGCCCUUGGGUACGGAAUAGCUCCGGGAUACUGGAAAUAAUACCGUAUGAUGUCUUCGGACCAAAGAUUUAUCGCCCAAGGAUGAGCCCGCGUCUGAUUAGGUAGUUGGUGGGGUAAUGGCCUACCAAGCCGACGAUCAGUAGCUGGUCUGAGAGGAUGAUCAGCCACACUGGGACUGAGACCCGGCCCAGACUGCUACGGGAGGCAGCAGUGGGGAAUCUUGGACAAUGGGGGAAACCCUGAUCCAGCCAUGCCGCGUGAGUGAAGAAGGCCUUAGGGUUGUAAAGCUCUUUUAAUCGGGAAGAUAAUGACGGUACCGAUAGAAUAAGCACCGGCUAACUUCGUGCCAGCCGCCGCGGUAA
rnacentral:rRNA from 1 species